UGAUGACCAUAGCGAGUCGGUACCACCCCUUCCCAUCCCGAACAGGACCGUGAAACGACUCCACGCCGAUGAUAGUGCGGAUCACCCGUGUGAAAGUAGGUAAUCGUCAGGCU
rnacentral:rRNA from 4 species